AUAAAAUAAGCAAUUAAGGGCACACGGUGGAUGCCUAGGCAUGCAGAGGCGAAGAAGGACGUGUAAAGCUGCGAUAAGCUGCGGGGAGUUGCAAAAGAACUGUGAUCCGCGGAUUUCCGAAUGGGGCAACCCACUCUAAUUUAUUAGGGUAUCCUUUCGAGGAGGCAUACCCGGGGAACUGAAACAUCUAAGUACCCGGAGGAAGAGAAAACAACAGUGAUUCCGCAAGUAGUGGCGAGCGAACGCGGAACAGCCCAAACCGCAUCCUACGGGGUGCGGGGUAGUAGGACCUGCGUAAUUUUUGUAAUCUUAAAUCGAAGCUGUCUGGAAAGCAGCGCCACAGAAGGUGAAAGCCCUGUAGGUGUACCGAUUACAAAAAGGCGGGUAUCCUGAGUAGCGCGAGACCGGUGAAAUCUUGCGUGAACCAGCCGGCACCAUCCGGUAAGGCUAAAUACAUCUGCAUGACCGAUAGUGAACCAGUACCGUGAGGGAAAGGUGAAAAGAACGCCGAGAAGGCGAGUGAAAUAGUACCUGAAACCGUGUGCUUACAAGCGGUCGGAGCUGCAUUUAUGUAGUGACGGCGUGCCUUUUGUAUAAUGAGCCUACGAGUUGCUCCUGUUGUGCGAGGUUAAGCCCCUAAGGGGUGGAGCCGUAGCGAAAGCGAGUCUGAAUAGGGCGUGCAGUACAGCGGGGCAGACGCGAAACCAAGUGAUCUAUCCAUGGUCAGGGUGAAGCGGUGGUAAGACACCGUGGAGGCCCGAACCGGUUGACGUUGAAAAGUCUUCGGAUGAACUGUGGAUAGGGGUGAAAGGCCAAUCAAACUUGGAGAUAGCUCGUACUCCCCGAAAUAUAUUUAGGUAUAGCGUCUGGUUUUGUCUCACUGGAGGUAGAGCACUGAUUAGGCUAGGGCCCUUCACCGGGUACCAACCCUAGACAAACUCCGAAUACCAGUGAUGAGCCGCCAGGCAGUCAGUCGCAGGGUGAUAACGUCCUGUGGCGAGAGGGGAACAACCCAGACCACCAGCUAAGGUCCCUAAAUACCGACUAAGUUGAUCAAAGAAAGUUGAGUUGCUCAGACAACUAGGAGGUUGGCUUAGAAGCAGCCAUUCCUUUAAAGAGUGCGUAAUAGCUCACUAGUCAAGCGACUCGGCGUCGAUAAUAAUCGGGCAUAAGUCGGUUACCGAAGCUGUGGGAUUUAACGAUCGGUAGGGGAGCAUUCCAGUCAGCGCAGAAGCAGCGCCCGCGAGGGGCCGUGGAGCGGCUGGAAGCGAAAAUGUAGGCAUGAGUAACGAUAAGAAGGGUGAAAAACCCUUCCACCGUAAACCCAAGGGUUCCUGAUCAACGCUAAUCGGAUCAGGGUUAGUCGAGACCUAAGGUGUACCCGGUGAGGCCGGGGAAGCCGAUGGCAAAGCGGUUAAAUAUUCCGCUACCGAAGCCAGCGUAUGGCUAAGGCGUGACGCAGAAGUGACACUCCCGCGUGCUGACGAAUGCACGUUAAAGGGCGUAGGCCGGGGGGCAGGCAAAUCCGCCUCCCGUUAAGGCUGAACCCCGACAGUACUCGGAUUCUCACGAUGAAGAGAUAGUGGAGGUAAUCAUGCUGCCAAGAAAAGCGUCGUAGUUUGCUGGUUCUCGCUCGUACCCCAAACCGACACAGGUGGGUGAGGAGAGUAUCCUCAGGUGCUCGAGUAAUUCAUGGCUAAGGAACUAGGCAAAUUCGAUCCGUAACUUCGGGAGAAGGAUCCCCUGACUAUGUCAGGGCGCAGUGAAAAGGCCCAAGCGACUGUUUACCAAAAACACAUGUCUCUGCUAAGCCGCAAGGCGAUGUAUAGGGACUGACACCUGCCCGGUGCUGGAAGGUUAAAGAAGGGGGUUAGCUUCGGCGAAGCCCUUGACUGAAGCCCCAGUAAACGGCGGCCGUAACUAUAACGGUCCUAAGGUAGCGAAAUUCCUUGUCGGGUAAGUUCCGACCUGCACGAAUGGUGUAACGACUUGGGCACUGUCUCGGCCAUGAGCUCGGUGAAAUUGUGGUAUCGGUGAUGACGCCGAUUACCCGCAGCGGGACGAAAAGACCCCGUGAACCUUUACUACAACUUUACAUUGGCUUUAGCUGUCGCAUGUGUAGGAUAGGCGGGAGACUUUGAAGCGGCGUCGCCAGGCGUUGUGGAGUCACCCUUGAAAUACCGCCCUUGCCACAGGUGAAGUCUAACCCUUCCGGGGGAACAGUGUAUGGUGGGUAGUUUGACUGGGGCGGUCGCCUCCUAAAGAGUAACGGAGGCUCCCAAAGGUACCCUCAGCACGGUUGGCAAUCGUGCGUAGAGUGUAAAAGCAUAAGGGUGCUUGACUGCGAGACAUACAGGUCGAGCAGGCACGAAAGUGGGGUUUAGUGAUCCGGUGGCACCGCAUGGAAGGGCCAUCGCUCAAAGGAUAAAAGGUACUCCGGGGAUAACAGGCUUAUCUCCCCCAAGAGUUCAUAUCGACGGGGAGGUUUGGCACCUCGAUGUCGGCUCAUCGCAUCCUGGGGCUGGAGAAGGUCCCAAGGGUUUGGCUGUUCGCCAAUUAAAGCGGUACGCGAGCUGGGUUCAGAACGUCGUGAGACAGUUCGGUCUCUAUCUGCUGUGGGCGUUGGAAUACUGAGGAGGGCUGCUCCUAGUACGAGAGGACCGGAGUGGACGUACCGCUAGUGUACCUGUUGUGUGGUCGCAUGCAUCGCAGGGUAGCUAUGUACGGAAGUGAUAAGCCGCUGAACGCAUCUAAGCGCGAAGCACGCUCCAAGAUAAGUAUUCCCUAUGAGUCUCCCGGAAGACGACCGGGUAGAUAGGUGGCAGGUGUACGCAUGGUGACAUGUUUAGCCGAGCCAUACUAAUUAGACCAUUGGCUUUGUUU
rnacentral:rRNA from 1 species